rnacentral:misc_RNA from 1 species
UGGGGCUUUCUUUUUUUUUUUUUUCCCCCCCCUUAAUUUUUUUUUGGGGGUUUUUCCCCGGGGGGGGCCCCCUAUAAAAAGGGGGGUUAAGGGGGGACCCCCGGGAUUUCAAAGGGGUUGGUUUUCCCGUUUUUACGCCUCAGGACCGAAGACCCGCGAUAACUUGGGCCCCGCCGGAGGCCCGGGCCCCCAACACCAGCCGGGUGGGUGAAAGACGCUGAACAGCAUGCCCCCGAAUACCGCGGCGCAAUGGCUUCAAAGAUUGAUGAUUCAGUGAAUUCUGCAAUUCACAUUACUUAUCGCAUUUCGUGCUUCUUCAUGAUGCCAGAACCAAGAGAUCCGUUGUGAAAGUUUGAUUAUUUGUCUUUCAGCUCAGAGAUACUGAAAAAAUAAGAGUUUGAACCUCCGGCGGCUGCCCGCCGAAGCAACGACAGAGUUUAUGUUCACAGGGUUGGAGUUUUUCAACUCAGUUUUCAUCCUUGUGACCUGCGGAGGGAUCAUUACUGAGUUGAAAAACUCCAACCCCUGUGAACAUAACCUCUGUCGUUGCUUCGGCGGGCACGCCCGCCGGAGGUUCAAAACUCUUAUUUUUUCCAGUAUCUCUGAGCCUGAAAGACAAAUAAUCAAAACUUUCAACAACGGAUCUCUUGGUUCUGGCAUCGAUGAAGAACGCAGCGAAAUGCGAUAAGUAAUGUGAAUUGCAGAAUUCAGUGAAUCAUCGAAUCUUUGAACGCACAUUGCGCCCGCCGGUAUUCCGGCGGGCAUGCCUGUUCGAGCGUCAUUUCAACCCUCAAGCCUCGGCUUGGUGUUGGGGCGCCCGGGCCCUCCGCGGCCCGGGGCCCCCGAAGUUUCAUCGGCGGGCUCGUCGGUACUCUGAGCGCUGUAAAACGCGGUAAAACGCGAAACCUCGUUUCGGAUUCGUCCCCGGCGUGCUCCCUGCUCGCGUAACCCCCCCCAGAUUUUUUGGAAGGGAUGACCCACGGGAUCCAGAGUGAGUAUCCGCGCGCGCUA